AGCGAAUGUAUACCAAAACAAGGACGGAAAAAACGGAGAAAGUUAUAUAUAUAUAUAUGAGAUUUUUCCAUUACCUUUUAUUUCCUUAACAUGGGCAAUGCUGUCAUAACUCUGAUGAAUUUUUAAUUCCUUAUCAAUCAUAGGGGAAAAAAUACUGCAUAGAUUUAGAAACCUAGUGACAUGUUUAUUAUGAAAUAGCCAACUAUCUAAUUUCUUCUCGCAUAUGUAUGCACACACACACAGAUAUACACACACACAUACACACACACACAUAUGUGUGUGUGGUUUUGUGUGUGUGUGUAAGUAAAUACUUUUGUUAAACUAUUUGUCCCAAGACGGAAAAGAAAAGUGCAAUUCAAGAAAGAAUUAGAAGUGCAUUGGGAGAAGCGGUGUAUAAAAACAUCCAGUAUUUGCAGUUGAUAUUAUGGUUCAGCAUACACAAAUCUGCCAUAGGUCGAAGUUGAAAGCAGGAGAUUGAAAUAAAGAGAAGCAAUAGAAAUACACAAUGAACGCAACACGAAAUCUUAUCUGUGCAUAACUGAAAAGCUGGUAAUUCCCACCUUGCUCACCAAUAGCUUGAAUACGUGGAAUGAAAACUUCACGCCAUGCCUGCACACAACUUGUUGCCGCUCAGCUUCAAUAAGGAAAGCUUAUCCCGUGAAGUUUUCACCUGAACAGAGAAACUUUCACCAAUCAUUCCAGAUUAUUUUCAAGGAAUACCGAAUACCAGUUUCUAAUCUAACAUACUUCGUAUCUGUGCUUUCUACAAUAUAAAUUUAAGUCUCAUUUUGUUCUUUGUGGUGGAUAA
rnacentral:lncRNA from 1 species